rnacentral:rRNA from 1 species
GAUUCUGGCUCAGGACGAACGCUGGCGGCGUGCCUAACACAUGCAAGUCGAGCGGGGACAUGCGACGAAGCGGAAGUUUUCGGAUGGAAGUGGAGAUGCAUGUCUAGCGGCGGACGGGUGAGUAACGCGUGAGCAACCUGUCCUUCACAGGGGGAUAACACAGCGAAAGUUGUACUAAUACCGCAUAAGACCACGGUAGGGCAUCCUACAGGGGGUCAAAGGAGCAAUCCAGUGAAGGGUGGGCUCGCGUCCGAUUAGAUAGUUGGUGAGGUAACGGCCCACCAAGUCGACGAUCGGUAGCCGACCUGAGAGGGUGAUCGGCCACAUUGGGACUGAGACACGGCCCAAACUCCUACGGGAGGCAGCAGUGGGGAAUAUUGGGCAAUGGGGGGAACCCUGACCCAGCAACGCCGCGUGAGGGAAGAAGGUUUUCGGAUCGUAAACCUCUGUCCUUGGUGAAGAGGAAGAGACGGUAGCCAAGGAGGAAGCCCCGGCUAACUACGUGCCAGCAGCCGC